rnacentral:rRNA from 1 species
UUACACGACCGUACCGCAAACCGACACUGGUGCGCGAGAUGAGUAUUCUAAGGCGCUUGAGAGAACUCAGGAGAAGGAACUCGGCAAAUUGACACCGUAACUUCGGAAGAAGGUGUGCCUUUAGUAGGUGAAGUCCCUCGCGGAUGGAGCCCAAUGAGGUUGCAAAGAAUCGGUGGCUGCGACUGUUUAUUAAAAACACAGCACUCUGCAAACACGAAAGUGGACGUAUAGGGUGUGACGCCUGCCCGGUGCUGGAAGAUUAAAUGAUGGGGUGCAAGCUCUUGAUUGAAGUCCCAGUAAACGGCGGCCGUAACAAUAACGGUCCUAAGGUAGCGAAAUUCCUUGUCGGGUAAGUUCCGACCUGCACGAAUGGCGUAACGAUGGCCACACUGUCUCCUCCUGAGACUCAGCGAAGUUGAAAUGUUUGUGAUGAUGCAAUCUCCCCGCGGAAAGACGGAAAGACCCCAUGAACCUUUACUGUAGCUUUGUAUUGGACUUUGAACAGAUCUGUGUAGGAUAGGUGGGAGGCUUUGAAGCAGGGUCGCUAGAUCUUGUGGAGCCAACGUUGAAAUACCACCCUGGUGUGUUUGAGGUUCUAACCUAGGCCCGUAAUCCGGGUUGGGGACAGUGCAUGGUAGGCAGUUUGACUGGGGCGGUCUCCUCCCAAAGUGUAACGGAGGAGUUCGAAGGUACGCUAGUUACGGUCGGACAUCGUGACGAUAGUGCAAUGGCAUAAGCGUGCUUAACUGCGAGACUGACAAGUCGAGCAGAUGCGAAAGCAGGACAUAGUGAUCCGGUGGUUCUGCAUGGAAGGGCCAUCGCUCAACGGAUAAAAGGUACUCUGGGGAUAACAGGCUGAUACCGCCCAAGAGUUCAUAUCGACGGCGGUGUUUGGCACCUCGAUGUCGGCUCAUCUCAUCCUGGGGCUGUAGCCGGUCCCAAGGGUAUGGCUGUUCGCCAUUUAAAGAGGUACGUGAGCUGGGUUUAAAACGUCGUGAGACAGUUUGGUCCCUAUCUUCCGUGGGCGCUGCAGAUUUGAGGAAGCCUGCUCCUAGUACGAGAGGACCGGAGUGGACGCACCUCUGGUGUAUCGGUUGUCACGCCAGUGGCAUUGCCGAGUAGCUAUGUGCGGAAGAGAUAACCGCUGAAAGCAUCUAAGCGGGAAACUCGUUUCAAGAUGAGAUCUGCCGGGGCCUUGAGCCCCCUGAAGAGUCGUUCAAGACCAGGACGUUGAUAGGUCGGGUGUGGAAGCGCAGUAAUGCGUUAAGCUAACCGAUACUAAUUGCUCGUGCGGCUUGACCCU